AUUUCUCUGAGAUGUUUGCAAGCGGGCCAGUCCCCUGAGCCGAUAUUUCAUACCACAAGAAUGUGGCGCUCCGCGGUUGGUGAGCAUGCUCGGUUCGUCCGAGAAGCCUUAAAACUGUGACGACACAUUCACCUUGAUCCAAGGGUUCAAGGGUUACAGCCUGCGGCGGCAUCUCGGAGAUUCC
rnacentral:other from 1 species